GCCCCGCCCCCUCCCCGCAAAGGCCCCGCCCCAUCCCCCUCCGCAAGGCCCCGCCCGACCCCGCCCGCCCCAGGGGCGGAUCCAGCCAGACUCAGCCGCCUGGAGCUGAGCUAGCGGCCGGGUGGACUGGGUGGGUGGCCGUGUAGGGAGUGGGGAAGUUUGGGCGACCGAGGCCAGAGCGGAGAUCCUGAGCCAGGCUCCACUCCUGAGGUCGAAGGGGCGGGCGAACCGGCUCACGGAAGCCUCCAGGCCCGCAGCCUUCGUCCCGCGUCCUCUUUUCUGGAAGUGUUUAAACUUCUAAAAUGUCAUCCAUCAAGCACCUCGUUUAUUCGGUCAUUCGUUUCUUACGGGAACAAAGUCAGAUGAAUGCUUAUAAUUCUGAUGAACAAGAAAGUUUGGAAGGUAGGCAUCAGCUCUUUCUGUUCAUUUGUGUUAUAAAUAAAGACUAAAACUACUAGGAGCCCAACUUCAUGAUGUAUCAUAACAUGGAGAUAUUGUUUUCAUCUUUUAAGUAGAGAGGUUUAGCUAUAAGCUUACCUUAUUUUCAUUCUCAGACACUUGUUUUAAUUGACUAUUCAUUUAUUGAACAAUGACUGGGUCAGAACUAAUACAUAGAAUUUUUCUUCUGAGUGACUAAUAUCAUAAAUAAAACCAAUUGGUAAUGUAACAGCCAAUAUGUGAUGAAGCUGAGAUUAAAAUCCUGGUUCUUAUUCAGAAAGUUUUUUCUUUUCCUUUUUCUAAAAGCAGCAUCAAGUUUAGAAAUGAUACAUGAAAAUACCUUAGUCAUUGCAAUAGCACUGUGUAACAAAUGUAAAUAUUUAUACCAUUGGUGAGCUCUGACAAGUGCUAAUAAAUGCUUUGGGACUUGAAAUGAGAGGAUUUUAUCUUUAUUUUGUGUGAGCUUUAAAUAUUGGAUUAGGUAAUCUAUAAAUUCAAGCAGGACUCAGAUGAUAGCAUCAUGUGUUUCCUUGACAUCAUCUUUGUGCUUCAUGUUUAUGUAUUAAAAAUUUAAAUUCAUUCUAGUCCAUAAUAGGAUAAAAUUCUGCAUAUGGGUUUGUCAAAGCUCACCGAGCCCACCUUGUAUGUGGCCUAAAGACUUAAUUAUUGAAAUGAGAGUACAUAUGGGACAACUUAAUAAACAACACUACAGUUUGAAUUUCCUAUCUUGCAGCUGCUCCUCCUGUAAAGGGGACACAUCUAUUUAUUUCAAGUACUUCCCUUGUAAAUAUGUUUUAAGGAGGUAGGGGAUGAAAAUUCGGCAUUUGCUCUAAAUCUGCUUUCCGUCUGGUGAAAUGAUAUCUUUCCAGGUGGCAGUGAGAGGAGCAGGUGAUGCACAGUUGGAAAACACUGCAAAUCGGUUCAUUUAAUAUUGAGGUCUUUGUGUUCUCCUUGAUGGUUGGACUGUAUAAGCAUAAAGGUGACUGGCUAUCUAAGGAAAAUGUUGGUUAUGAUAGCUCUAUAGUGAACAGAUAAAUGCAUUCAUUUAAUAAAUGGUAUUUAUUUUCUAAUCAAAGGCACUAAAAUAUUUUUAAAGGCCAGAAUGACAAUUGAGGGUAUUUUAAAAACCAAGAUGUUACGUCCUAUUUUUAGGAUAGUAUGCAGCCAAAAAUAUGUGCUUUCAGCUGUUUGUUAUAGAUGGCAGCCAGAAAUGAUGCCAAUUGUUUGUGGCUGACCCCUAUUUUUGACUCUGCAGGUCUAAUUUAAUUGAACAUGAAAUCAUGUGGAGGUGUUGUCUGCCCACCUUCUAGACAUUUAAAAAAGCUCUAGGAAGGAAGCCUAAAUUCUAGCACCAGCUUUACCACUAUGUAUUUUGAAGAUGAUAAACCAUCAGCUUUAAAUCUUAUCAGAUUAUGUCAUUCACUUCUCUUAAUUUUUAUCACCUACUGACCUUUUCUUUAUUUUUGACCUUUGUGGUUUCUAGUCUCUCUUAGGUACCACUCUUGUCCUAACCUUUGGUAAUUCUGAUGUAAUCAUGGGUAAUCAUAGGUUUUCCUGUUUCCUGGGUUAUUUCGAUCGUUUUUCCUGGAGAAUUCAACUACUUAACCUGCUAGAUCAAUGGUCCUGAAUUUAGGGUGAUUUUUCAAAGUCUGGAGACAUGUUUGAUUGUCACAACUUCCAGGGCUGGUGUUUGGCAUCUGAUAGGCAGAGGUCAUGGAUGCUGCUAAACAACUGCAAUGCACAGGCUGGUCCCAGACAACAAAGAAUUUUCUAAUCUAAAAUGUCAGUGUGCCCACCUGGGCAUAGUGGUACAUGCCUGUAAUCUCUCUGGGAGGGUGAGGCAGGAGAAUCUCAAUUUUGAGCCUAGCCCAGGCAAUUUAAUGACAAUGAGAUCCUAUCCAAAAAGAAAAAAAAGUAACCAGGGGAUAUAGCUCAGGACAAAGAUCCUGGAUUUAAUCCCUGACUAACUCUCUCCCAAUUCAAUGUGCCAAGACUGAAAAAUCCUUACCUAGCUCUUAUCAUUACCAGAAUUGCAUUCCUUCCAUGAUUUCAUUUCCUGACCACAACUCCCCUAAGUUUCUAGGUCUCUCCUAGGAUCUUUACCACAACAAUUCUUUGAACCUACCGGUACUUCCAGCCUUUUGAUAUCUCAGUUUCUUCUACCACCAUUCUUACUCACCUUGCUUUCCAGAGCUGAUCGUUAUACUAAUCCCUGCAAUCCACGGGCUUCAUGUCCCAUCUUCAUACAUGCCUAUCCAGCAGCGUGGGCAGUGUCACUGUGCAUCCUGUGUCAAAGCCUCUCCGCCCUAAACCUUUGCUAUGGCUGCACCAUCCCUACCGCCAGCAUGCAGAAAAGCAAUGGAAGCCCUUUACCUGGGCAACCGGGUGGCAGACACCAUCUUCCUGCCCGUCAUGACUCCAGGAAGGGGCAACUUCCCGGGCCAGCAUGCAGCUUGGUAUGGGCAGUGGCUGGCAGCUGUGGGCGGGGCUUGCGUGACAUCACAGAGGCAGGUGAGCCGCCUGUGGUCACCACCCACUCAGGAUGGGUCUGAAGGGCCCCACCCUCUCCAGCCUAGGAACUGGAUCUUGUGUUUACUAUUGCAUUUUGCACCAGAGGAGUUCUGAGCCUGGCUCCACUGUACUUGGUUGAGUUUACCAUUUGGCUAGGGCUAAUUAGCUAGUCCUAGUCACCCAAGUAUCUAAUUUCAGUAUAGUUCAAAUUUUAAUCUGGAGCUAAAUGAGUAAAACAAGCUUCUGUGAUUUCCUGAUGGCUUCGAGGUCAGAAAGAAUGGCCACUUUGGUUUAGCAGGGGCCUCAUCGUAUUCUCUCGCCGAUUGGCAUUGCUUGAUUUCAGCCGAUUUGCUUAGCGGUUUCCAAAUCUUGUGAGCAUCUUAGAAACAUAUUACUGAACCCAAAUACUGGCUGCCUGAUUUAGUACGUGUUUCUCUUAACUCCUUGUUCCUGAUAACUGCUGCCUUCACUUCAAUAUGGAGAGAACUCAAAAGUUCAGAGAUCACAAGGACUAUUGUGAUUCAGUAUGUAUGUCUGUAGAGAAAAGCACAAGCUUUGUAAGUGUUCAAAACUUCUCCAAGCAGCAUGUAUUCUAAAAUUAGUCUGAUACCAUUAUUACACAAAGUACAUAAGCAAAGUUCACAAAAAAAGUACAAACUGAAGAUAUUAAAACACAUUUAACCUGCAUUACUCUAAGAAAAAUUUAAACUAUAACACGUUUCAUCUGAACUACAUUCCCAGCCCUUUUUUUAUUUUCGAGUUUGAGACAGGGUUCCACUAAGUCGUGAAGUCCCCCAGGCUGGCCUUGAGCUUGUGAUUCUCCUGUCACAUCCUCCCAUCAUGUGCUGCUUCAACAUCGGCCCAAAAGCACCGGGGUAAGCAGUCUCGGAAUGUAACUCUACCACAGUGAGCCAAAAUAAGCCCUUUACAUGAGGUGUGCUGUGCACCUUUAAUCCCAGCACUAAGGAGGCUGAGCCUCUAGGAUCACAAGUUCAGGCUCCUCUGGGUAAUUUAAAUAAAAGGAGUGGGGGAUGUAGUUCAGUGAUAGAUGCCCCUAGGUGCAAUCUUCUGUACACAGGAAAGGAAGAAAAACAAAUGGCUUUUUUUUUUUUUCUUUUGGUCUUUUUCCUUUUUACCGGUACCAGGGAUCGAACUCAAGGCUGCCUGCUUACAAGGCAGGUGCUUAUGCCACUGAGCUAAAUCCCCAGCCCCAACAAAUAGCUUUUUGAACUGUUUAUACACGUAACCUUCCAUCACCCCCGGGGCAGCAGCACCACCUGAUUCUCCAGGAUGAGAACUAGCACAACUGCCUAGGGUGGGACAGAACUUACAGAGAGAUGUCAGGGAGGAAUGCGCCCCAUUCAUUGCUUGAACUACCUUGAAUGAUUCAUCCCUAGCUGAGCGCCCUUCUCUGCUCCUCCAGGGCAAAGCUAGAAGACUCAAAAAUUCUUGGGAUGGAGACUGGGUUUUUCCUACAGCUUAACAGUCAUAAGCAAAGGACACGGUAGGAGGAGACACAUUUGAAACGAUCUUAAUGAGAGUUUUGGAGGUCUUAAAAGGGCUCGCUGUGAAAGCAGGAAAACAAAAGUUAGAAACUGAACUCAGAUUUGGUGGUGAUGGCUUGAAGAUGUACUUACAUUUGCAUAUAUGCCAGCAUUGUAAGCAAGUGUUUUAUAGUUAUUUAGAAGAGGAAGCCAAGCUCUGCCGAUAUGGUAACUUCCGUACUUUCUCUUUCUUCGAUGCAAUAGUUCAUGUGCUAAUUAAUAGUUAAUUAAACUUUAUUACUUUUACCAUGGUGUUAAAGUCCUUUGCUGUGUGCCAAUCUGCACCUCUAAAAUGAAUACCAAAUGAAAGAAAAUUAAACCACCUAGUAUUUCAUUGUCAAAUGAUGGAUUAAAUUAAAUGAUUCCUAACAAUUUAUCAGUUUAAUAUAUGUAUAGUAAGUGUACUAUUUUCAUUUCAGGUUUGCAGAUGGUUUUCUAUAAACUACAUUUGUAUCAAGUCUGUAGGUGAACAAUUUUUUAAAAAGCUCUACAAUAAGGUACACAUAGGGUGUAUUUAAGAAACUGGCCACCGAAGCAAAGAAGAAGCAGGGGAAGCAGGGGGGGGGGGGAGGAAACAAAGAAAGAGAAGGAGGAGGAGAUCGGGUAAGAAGAAUAAGAAGAGGAAGAAGAAGAAAAGAAAAAACUGAUACUGCAGAUGCUUGUAAACAAUCUGAGUUAAAAAUGCUUAGAUUGUGAGUAACUUGUUGUGCAAGUGUUUUGCAAGACAAGCAAGCAUUUCUAAUAAAUUUUAACUUUAUAAAGGUGAUGUCUUGCAAUACCAGUAGUACCUGACACUGCAUGUCACAUGAUCACAACUGAGCCAAUGGUUCCCUACCCCCCCACCCACACAACAAAUGUAAAAUCAAAUUAAAAAUAAUUAAAGAAGUGA